AGCCAAAAAUAUGAGAUGUAGAGGAAUAUCUACAGAUACAAAGUUUGUUCAAGUCUCGAUCCCUGAGCGGUUUUCAGAUGAUGAGUUACUUGCCUUAAUGCCUCAUAGGAAUUUUCACGGUUCAGUACGUGGACGCCAUAUUUGUUCUCGUCCAAGAUUGCCAAGAAAAGGAAGAGUACGAGUUAGUUUUAAAAUGCCGGCGUCCGUGGUGGAAUUUCAAGCAAUCUGAAGAUCGUAGCUUGCACGCAAACCGAAAUGGGCGGAAUUAGUGACAUCAUUGACUAGACAUCAUGAGUAAGGCGCAGAGUUCAGCACCAAAGCAGCACUGAAAAACAUUCAUUACCGUAACAUGCUUGACUAUAUAGUGCGUCUGAAAGAUAUGAUAAAGGACUGUAAUUAUUCGCUUGACAGCGUUGGAAAGCGACGAAAAAACUAUAUUGAUCUGGUAAUUUGGAAUUGUUUGCAACGGAAACUGUUGCGGGGUAAAGUAAAAGAGAAAAACCGAUUGUACGUUAAAAUAGCGGUUUUAUCUGAGUGGUUAGAAAUUAGAAUAACA